rnacentral:misc_RNA from 1 species
AGCAGCCGCGGUAAUUCCAGCUCCAAUAGCGUAUAUUAAAGUUGUUGCAGUUAAAAAGCUCGUAGUUGAAUUUCGGGAUCAAUAUAUCGGUCGUGCCUUGGUACGUACUGGUAUCAUUGGUUUCUCCUUUCUGACGAACCAUGAUGUCAUUAAUUUGGUGUUAUGGGAAGUUAGGACUGUUACUUUGAAAAAUUAGAGUGUUUAAAGCAGGCUUUAGCUUGAAUACAUUAGCAUGGAAUAAUGGAAUAGGACGUUCGAACCUAUUUUGUUGGUUUCUAGGAUCAACGUAAUGAUUAAUAGGGAUAGUUGGGGGCAUUAGUAUUCAAUUGUCAGAGGUGAAAUUCUUGGAUUUAUUGAAGACUAACUACUGCGAAAGCAUUUGCCAAGGAUGUUUUCAUUAAUCAAGAACGAAAGUUAGGGGAUCGAAGACGAUCAGAUACCGUCGUAGUCUUAACCAUAAACUAUGCCGACUAGGGAUCGGAUGAUGUUAAUUUUUUAAUGUACUCAUUCGGCGCCUUAC